GAUGAACGCUGGCGGCGUGCCUAAUACAUGCAAGUCGAGCGAACAGACGAGGAGCUUGCUCCUCUGACGUUAGCGGCGGACGGGUGAGUAGCACGUGGAUAACCUACCUAUAAGACUGGGAUAACUUCGGGAAACCGGAGCUAAUACCGGAUAAUAUAUUGAACCGCAUGGUUCAAUAGUGAAAGACGGUUUUGCUGUCACUUAUAGAUGGAUCCGCGCCGCAUUAGCUAGUUGGUAAGGUAACGGCUUACCAAGGCAACGAUGCGUAGCCGACCUGAGAGGGUGAUCGGCCACACUGGAACUGAGACACGGUCCAGACUCCUACGGGAGGCAGCAGUAGGGAAUCUUCCGCAAUGGGCGAAAGCCUGACGGAGCAACGCCGCGUGAGUGAUGAAGGCCUUCGGAUCGUAAAACUCUGUUAUUAGGGAAGAACAAAUGUGUAAGUAACUAUGCACGUCUUGACGGUACCUAAUCAGAAAGCCACGGCUAACUACGUG
rnacentral:rRNA from 1 species